GAUGAACGCUGGCGGCGUGCCUAAUACAUGCAAGUCGAGCGAACGGACGAGAAGCUUGCUUCUCUGAUGUUAGCGGCGGACGGGUGAGUAACACGUGGAUAACCUACCUAUAAGACUGGGAUAACUUCGGGAAACCGGAGCUAAUACCGGAUAAUAUUUUGAACCGCAUGGUUCAAAAGUGAAAGACGGUCUUGCUGUCACUUAUAGAUGGAUCCGCGCUGCAUUAGCUAGUUGGUAAGGUAACGGCUUACCAAGGCAACGAUGCAUAGCCGACCUGAGAGGGUGAUCGGCCACACUGGAACUGGGACACGGUCCAGACUCCUACGGGAGGCAGCAGUAGGGAAUCUUCCGCAAUGGGCGAAAGCCUGACGGAGCAACGCCGCGUGAGUGAUGAAGGUCUUCGGAUCGUAAAACUCUGUUAUUAGGGAAGAACAUAUGUGUAAGUAACUGUGCACAUCUUGACGGUACCUAAUCAGAAAGCCACGGCUAACUACGUGCCAGCAGCCGCGGUAAUACGUGGGUGGCAAGCGUUAUCCGGAAUUAUUGGGCGUAAAGCGCGCGUAGGCGGUUUUUUAAGUCUGAUGUGAAAGCCCACGGCUCAACCGUGGAGGGUCAUUGGAAACUGGAAAACUUGAGUGCAGAAGAGGAAAGUGGAAUUCCAUGUGUAGCGGUGAAAUGCGCAGAGAUAUGGAGGAACACCAGUGGCGAAGGCGACUUUCUGGUCUGUAACUGACGCUGAUGUGCGAAAGCGUGGGGAUCAAACAGGAUUAGAUACCCUGGUAGUCCACGCCGUAAACGAUGAGUGCUAAGUGUUAGGGGGUUUCCGCCCCUUAGUGCUGCAGCUAACGCAUUAAGCACUCCGCCUGGGGAGUACGACCGCAAGGUUGAAACUCAAAGGAAUUGACGGGGACCCGCACAAGCGGUGGAGCAUGUGGUUUAAUUCGAAGCAACGCGAAGAACCUUACCAAAUCUUGACAUCCUUUGACAACUCUAGAGAUAGAGCCUUCCCCUUCGGGGGACAAAGUGACAGGUGGUGCAUGGUUGUCGUCAGCUCGUGUCGUGAGAUGUUGGGUUAAGUCCCGCAACGAGCGCAACCCUUAAGCUUAGUUGCCAUCAUUAAGUUGGGCACUCUAAGUUGACUGCCGGUGACAAACCGGAGGAAGGUGGGGAUGACGUCAAAUCAUCAUGCCCCUUAUGAUUUGGGCUACACACGUGCUACAAUGGACAAUACAAAGGGCAGCGAAACCGCGAGGUCAAGCAAAUCCCAUAAAGUUGUUCUCAGUUCGGAUUGUAGUCUGCAACUCGACUACAUGAAGCUGGAAUCGCUAGUAAUCGUAGAUCAGCAUGCUACGGUGAAUACGUUCCCGGGUCU
rnacentral:rRNA from 1 species